UACGAAGGGGGCUAGCGUUGCUCGGAAUUACUGGGCGUAAAGGGCGCGUAGGCGGCACUGUUAGUCAGGCGUGAAAGUCCUGGGCUCAACCUGGGAACUGCGCUUGAUACGGCAGAGCUAGAGGAUGGAAGAGGGUCGCGGAAUUCCCAGUGUAGAGGUGAAAUUCGUAGAUAUUCGGAAGAACACCAGUGGCGAAGGCGACUGACUGGACAAGUAUUGACGCUGAGGUGCGAAAGCGUGGGGAGCAAACAGG
rnacentral:rRNA from 1 species